CUGAAAAGCGUAGUCGAUGGAAACGGGUUAAUAUUCCCGUACCUUGGAUAGCUGCGAUGGAGAGACGGAGAAGGCUAGGUGAGCCGGGCGACGGUUGUCCCGGUUUAAGCGAGUAGGGAGAGGACUUAGGCAAAUCCGGGUCCUCAAUCCUGAGACGUGACGACGACUGCUCAUUCGAGCGGGAAGUCAUUGAUGCCCUGCUUCCAGGAA
rnacentral:rRNA from 1 species